rnacentral:rRNA from 1 species
CGGAGCAUCUGCAAAAAUGUUUCAUUAAUCAAGAACGAAAGUCAGAGGUUCGAAGGCGAUCAGAUACCGCCCUAGUUCUGACCAUAAACGAUGCCAGCUAGCGAUCCGCCGACGUUCCUCGAUGACUCGGCGGGCAGCUUCCGGGAAACCAAAGCUUUUGGGUUCCGGGGGAAGUAUGGUUGCAAAGCUGAAACUUAAAGGAAUUGACGGAAGGGCACCACCAGGAGUGGAGCCUGCGGCUUAAUUUGACUCAACACGGGAAACCUCACCAGGCCCGGACACCGGAAGGAUUGACAGAUUGAGAGCUCUUUCUUGAUUCGGUGGGUGGUGGUGCAUGGCCGUUCUUAGUUGGUGGAGCGAUUCGUCUGGUUAAUUCCGAUAACGAACGAGACUCUGGCCUGCUAAAUAGGCGUUACUUUCCGGCAUCCCGAAGGCUCACGUCUUCGUCAGCCAACGCGAGCGGAGUCCCGGGUGCGCCGGUCGCUCACGCACAGCGCUUCCCGCCCCGUUCCGUUUACGUCGAGAGCUCGUGGUUUUUACUGUCGGCGUACACAUGAAUUUUCUUGAGGGACAGGCGGCUUCUGCCCACAGAUUACAAUAACAGGUCUUGUGAUGCCCCUUAAA